CCUACGGGAGGCAGCAGUGGGGAAUAUUGCACAAUGGGCGCAAGCCUGAUGCAGCCAUGCCGCGUGUGUGAAGAAGGCCUUCGGGUUGUAAAGCACUUUCAGCGGGGAGGAAGGCGGUGAGGUUAAUAACCUCAUCGAUUGACGUUACCCGCAGAAGAAGCACCGGCUAACUCCGUACCAGCAGCCGCGGUAAUACGGAGGGUGCAAGCGUUAAUCGGAAUUACUGGGCGUAAAGCGCACGCAGGCGGUCUGUCAAGUCGGAUGUGAAAUCCCCGGGCUCAACCUGGGAACUGCAUUCGAAACUGGCAGGCUAGAGUCUUGUAGAGGGGGGUAGAAUUCCAGGUGUAGCGGUGAAAUGCGUAGAGAUCUGGAGGAAUACCGGUGGCGAAGGCGGCCCCCUGGACAAAGACUGACGCUCAGGUGCGAAAGCGUGGGGAGCAAACAGGAUUAGAUACCCCUGUAGUC
rnacentral:rRNA from 1 species